rnacentral:rRNA from 1 species
GACGAACGCUGGCGGCGUGCUUAACACAUGCAAGUCGUACGGUAAGGCCCUUUCGGGGGUACACGAGUGGCGAACGGGUGAGUAACACGUGAGUAACCUGCCCACAACUUUGGGAUAACGCUAGGAAACUGGUGCUAAUACUGGAUAUGUGCUCCUUCUGCAUGGUGGGGGUUGGAAAGCUCCGGCGGUUGUGGAUGGACUCGCGGCCUAUCAGCUUGUUGGUGGGGUAGUGGCCUACCAAGGCGGCGACGGGUAGCCGGCCUGAGAGGGUGACCGGCCACAUUGGGACUGAGAUACGGCCCAGACUCCUACGGGAGGCAGCAGCGGGGAAUAUUGCACAAUGGGCGCAAGCCUGAUGCAGCAACGCCGCGUGCGGGAUGACGGCCUUCGGGUUGUAAACCGCUUUCAGCAGGGACGAAGCUUUUUGUGACGGUACCUGCAGAAGAAGCACCGGCUAACUACGUG